rnacentral:rRNA from 1 species
GACGAACGCUGGCGGCGUGCUUAACACAUGCAAGUCGAACGAUGAAGCUGGAGCUUGCUCCGGUGGAUUAGUGGCGAACGGGUGAGUAACACGUGAGCAAUCUGCCCUUGACUCUGGGAUAACUGCGGGAAACUGUAGCUAAUACCGGAUACGAGAUUUGGAGGCAUCUCCGGAUCUGGAAAGAAUUUCGGUCAAGGAUGAGCUCGCGGCCUAUCAGCUUGUUGGUGAGGUAAUGGCUCACCAAGGCGACGACGGGUAGCCGGCCUGAGAGGGUGACCGGCCACGCUGGGACUGAGGAACGGGCCAGACUCCUACGGGAGGCAGCGGUGGGGAAUAUUGCACAAUGGGCGGAGGCCUGUUGCAGCAACGCGGCGUGAGGGAUGAAGGCCUUCGGGUUGUAAACCUCUUUUGGUAGGGAAGAAGCGAAAGUGACGGUACCUACAGAAAAAGCACCGGCUAACUACGUGCCAGCCGCCGCCGUAA